ACAGCAGGACUGGUUUUACAGCUGAUGGUGAGUGUGUCUCCUGGAGAAACAGAUUUCACUGCAGGACUCUGAGUCACAGUCACCUGACCUCUGGAUCCUGAAAAAAAUAAGAAGAAUAAAUCCGUUCCCUACAUUAAUAAUGAUGUUGAGUUUGAAGUUCAUCUAGUCGGCCUACUUCACAUGGAUUUGUCAGCUGAACAGUAGAAGAUAAAACAUUGUGUUACCUCGAGCGCAGAGGGCCAGUGUGCAGAUGAAGACGCUGAUCAAACUCAUGGUUGCUGUGGGUGAAGUCGCUGAGCAGCAGCUCUCAGUCAUGAAGUGUUAAAGUCACAGGGCUAUAAACACUCGCAGAGCGCUGAAGCAUGAGCUGCUAAUGCAAAGUGGAACCUCUCUCUAUGGAAAUGUGUGUGUGUGUGUGUGCGUGUGUGUGUGUGUGUGUGUGUGUGUGUGUGUGGUCACUGUGGUGUAACAGAGGUUUUUGUACGACGGCUUCAUUAGAAUGUAUCACUGUGGUGGACUUUCGGUGGAGGAACCAAACUCAUCAUCACCGGUCCCACGGUGAAGCCCUCCGUGUCUCUGCUCCCUCCCUCCUCUCUGCAGCUGUCUGAGGGAUCGGCCUCGCUGCUCUGCCUGCUGUCUGCCUACUCUCCACAGGGGGCGCUGGUGAGCUGGACAGUGGACGGCUCCCAGGUGAAGGACGGGGUUCUGACCAGCGCAGAAGAACAGAAGAAGGACGGUUACACACGCAGCAGCACCCUGACCCUCAGCAAAGCGCUCUGGGAAAAGGGGGAGGAGUUUGUCUGUACGGUCUCCCAUGCCGGCGUCAAUCAUCCGGUCACGUUCAGAAAGAGCCAGUGUGAAGCCUAACAGCUCCAAGAUACAAUUUAACACUGAGCUGCUUACACAUCCAUCUACAAUAGAGUUUCAGUUCUACACAAUGCUGACAUUUCUGUCUUUACUCUCUUCACUGUCCUGUUGCUCUUCCUGUAGUUUUGCUCUGCUGAAAUAAAGCUUCAUUUUGGA